UCGGGAAUUUUGGGCAAUGGGCGAAAGCCUGACCCAGCAACGCCGCGUGAAGGAUGAAGUCUCUCGGGAUGUAAACUUCGUAAGAAUAGGAAGAAUAAAUGACGGUACUAUUUGUAAGGUCCGGCUAACUACGUGCCAGCAGCCGCGGUAAUACGUAGGGACCAAGCGUUGUUCGGAUUUACUGGGCGUAAAGGGCGCGUAGGCGGCGUGGUAAGUCACUUGUGAAAUCUCCGAGCUUAACACGGAACGGUCAAGUGAUACUGCUGUGCUAGAGUACAGAAGGGGCAAUCGGAAUUCUUGGUGUAGCGGUGAAAUGCGUAGAUAUCAAGAGGAACACCUGAGGUGAAGACGGGUUGCUGGGCUGAUACUGACGCUGAGGCGCGAAAGCUAGGGUAGCAAACGGGAUUAGAUACCCCUGUAGUCCCUGAGCGGGCUGGCAAGGCGCAU
rnacentral:rRNA from 1 species